CUUGAGAAAAAAACCAGGUGACCAAGAGGUAGGAAUGGGAAGGAGAGUUUUCCCUCUGUGUCCCUUCAUGUUUUUGAAAUGCAGAACCUUCUAACUACAUGGCCUAUAAAAAAAAAAAUAAGUAAAAUAAACACAGUUAAGUGACACUGUGGUUCUUGGCAGGGAGCCAACGUUGUCAUGGUCACUGGCUGCAGCUGUUACACUGGCGUGGUCACCUACAGUGACAUCUACUGGUGCUUCCUAACAGCACUGUUAGGUCAGUAUUUUUCAAACUUGAUUUCAAAGUGGGCCAUGGAACCAAUGUAGUGGGUCCAACCAGCAUUAAAAAAGAAAGAAAGAAAGAAAGAAAGAAAGAAUAGAAAAUAUCAGAGUACAUAACAAGUAGUAAAGGAAGUCACCAUCUUCGGUGGGGACCUUUCUCAGACAAUCUAUUCUUCCACAAUUCUCCUUGAGCAACCAAGAUAUUAACGGGGAAGACUUGAAGUUUCUAUGCUGCUUGAUCCAGAAUUUUCUCACCAUGGAUGUGGGGUUCUCACCUUUGAAGGAAUGCAUUGUGGACACAAACAAGAACUGUCUGUACUCUUGCAGGAAAUGGAAACGGUACAAA
rnacentral:lncRNA from 1 species